rnacentral:lncRNA from 1 species
CCGCACGCCCGCACGGCGGGCCGCACAGGCGUGCAAGGCAUCGGAUCAUAUCAAAGCAAAUACAGAUGUUCAAAACUGACAUAAUUAUUUAAAUUUAUUCAAAAGCAGUCUUACAAAAUUUCAAAUAACAUAUGCUGACGUAAGUCAAAUACUCUAAUCAAUCUAACUAAAGGACCAAUAACUGAUGGAAUCAUCGGAACAUCUAACGCACU